rnacentral:lncRNA from 1 species
UCUUUAGAUGCGAAUUUAUACGAUUAAGUUCUAUAUGAUCUCUCACUCUGAAAUUUUCUUUCUCCCCCUUAAUUAAUCAUUCCAUUUGAGAGUUUAGAGUUUGAAGAUAAUUUUCAAUAAAGAGAUUGAGUAUUUAAAGCUCCCCCUCAAAAGAUGCAUUUUCUUUCAAACCUUUUUUUUGUUCUUCUAUAAUAUCAUAUGUUUAGAACCAUUUAUUUGCAAUCAAGACCAUUGAAAAACACAUCAUUUAGACCAAUUUCAGUACACUUAUAAGAUAAAAAAUGAUAUGUUUCAGAUGCGUAUCGGAGCCAACAACCAAGGUAUCCAAAGUAAUUUUAUUUUUCUUAAACCGUAGUUUUCAUCUAGAAAUCAUAUUGAGUUAUUCCCCAAAAUGAUGCAAUCAUUGAAGUAUAUAAUGAAAGUUACAAAAAAUGCAAUGAUAGAAGCAUUUUUAAAUUAAGUUUAAGCUUUUAUCCUUAAGGUGUGUUUUCAAGUGAUCGAAACUUCAUUUGGCUUUUCACAAGCUUUUUAUACUUUCAUUUAUCUUGUCAUUCAUUUUCUCAUUUUUGAAUUUCUUCCUUUAACCACUCAGUGAAUAUUCUAAUCUUCAUUUCUUUUGGUUUUACUUUUCUAUGCUCUAUACUCUAUUUGCUCCCUAUCCGGUGGAGUUGGAAGGGGCACGAGGUACUACCACUAGCCUCCCUCGUGUGCCGUCCCUAAUAUGCCCUACACCGAAUAGUUGGGUCAAAUAGUGCCGGGUACUACCACUAGCCUCCCCAUUGGCACCAUCCCUAUGAUGAGCAAUAUAGAAGGGUUAAAAUGUUCACUUCAAAUUUUUUCUGUAAUUAAUUACGGAUUUUAUCUCUUUCACAAGUCUCACAAAUGUGCCGAAUGUAUUAUGCUUGUUUUUCUUUUCCUUAAGAUUGAAGUAUUUGCCUUUAC